rnacentral:rRNA from 1 species
GACGAACGCUGGCGGCGUGCCUAAUACAUGCAAGUAGAACGCUGAAGGAAGGAGCUUGCUCUUUCUGGAUGAGUUGCGAACGGGUGAGUAACGCGUAGGUAACCUGCCUGGUAGCGGGGGAUAACUAUUGGAAACGAUAGCUAAUACCGCAUAAAAUGGAUUAUCGCAUGAUAAUUCAUUGAAAGGUGCAAAUGCAUCACUACCAGAUGGACCUGCGUUGUGUUAGCUAGUUGGUGGGGUAACGGCUCACCAAGGCGACGAUACAUAGCCGACCUGAGAGGGUGAUCGGCCACACUGGGACUGAGACACGGCCCAGACUCCUACGGGAGGCAGCAGUAGGGAAUCUUCGGCAAUGGACGGAAGUCUGACCGAGCAACGCCGCGUGAGUGAAGAAGGUUUUCGGAUCGUAAAGCUCUGUUGUAAGAGAAGAACGAGUGUGAGAGUGGAAAGUUCACACUGUGACGGUAUCUUACCAGAAAGGGACGGCUAACUACGUGC